rnacentral:piRNA from 1 species
UCUUGACUUGUCCAGGCCUCUUGCUCCAUC